UUUCCCCAGCCUUACUACAGGCACAGUAAAAUAUGUAUUGUGCACUGUCACUUUCUGGGGGUAGAUUAAAGAGUCUUUUUCCCUCCCCAGCAGGUUAUUGUGAUAUUCUCUGGGGCCUAUAGAAUGGACUGACAGC